rnacentral:miRNA from 1 species
GCUCUGGGGCCUUUGCAGAUGCGGGGAGGUCUCUGCUGGCCUGAUGUUCCCCCGUCAUCUGAGGCUCCUCUCUGCCUCAGAUGCUGCCUUGAGUC